UGCUGUACCCAACCUCUGGAGUGAAUGAACAUAUCAAAGAACUAGUGUCUGAGUAUGGCUUAGUUGUCAUUUCAAGAGCUGGGUCUAAUCCUGAAAAGUUUAUAUAUGAGUCAGACGUGUUGUCAAAAUAUAAGAGCAACAUCCAUCUAGUGACAGAAUGGAUUCAGAAUGAGAUAAGUGCCACAAAGAUCAGGCGAUCCCUGAAGCGGAAGGAAAGUGUGAGGUACCUGGUCCCUGACGCUGUCAUUAACUACAUCAAGGAACAUCAGCUGUACCAGCCAGAUACUGAGACAUCCUGAGGAGGCAACAUGUGGACAUAUCUGACACAGAACCGUUAUAAAUCUAGUUAUACUGUAAGGCAGGUAGAAGAGACAACAUACUAUACAAUAUGAGGGUCAUGCAAGUAAAGAGCCAAACCUAUAUUUGAAAUUCCCACUCUUCCGACUUAGACGGCUUUUAUGAAUACACGAAUGUUUCUGGAAUUCAAAAUUCGCUGCAGUGAUAACUUAAGGUAUUUUAUCAUGAAUUGAGUUGGCACGCUAUAUCAGUUUUGUCAUUAUUAUAAAGCUUGCUAAAAUUUGAGGAUUUUAAGUUGGUUAAUUAAAGUGAAUCAAGCAUUU